CACUACUGGGUGUCGAUCGAC
rnacentral:siRNA from 1 species